GUUCUACUGGACUGGAGGCUGGCUACUGUUGUGCCCAUCUACAAGAAAGGUUGCAUGGAGGAUCUGGAGAACUACAGGCCUGUCAGUCUGACAUCAGUGCCAGGGAAAAUCAUGGAACAGGACUCAAAAUCUAGGAACUCUUCCUCAGUGUAUACUGCAGCUAACACUUCAGGAAGAGGAUGCAGAGCUCCUCAGGCUGCAUCUGGGAGGAUUCUGAAGCCACUUUGUAGCAACAUAGACUACAAUGUGCUGCUUCAAGCUGCAAAGCAGUGGGGAUGUUUAUGGCAUGCUAUUUUGUUAUCUGGGUUUGCAUGACUGCACAAGAACUUCCGAACUGCAAAUACAGUCAAUACCCAGCACAGGCAUGACCGGAGCACAUACUGCAUUUGGAGGGGGAUGGAGUCAUCCAACCUGGAUUAUGGAUUCUUGUCAGUGCCCAAACUGGACUGGAUUAUACAGUGGCUGGUACAAGACCAAACCUGAACAAUAUGUCUGUGUUUGGUUUCUCUCAUUCCAUCACUGUGGAUCCAUGCCCAAUCACACGGAUCUCUUCCACAACUCUUCUUCAUUUUAAGGUGGCCUUAAAGUGAGAAGUAAUGCUGCACACGAUAAAUGGGUGCUUUAA